rnacentral:rRNA from 1 species
UAGGGAAUCUUCGGCAAUGGACGAAAGUCUGACCGAGCAACGCCGCGUGAGUGAAGAAGGUUUUCGGAUCGUAAAACUCUGUUGUUAGAGAAGAACAAGGACGUUAGUAACUGAACGUCCCCUGACGGUAUCUAACCAGAAAGCCACGGCUAACUACGUGUCAGCAGCCGCGGUAAUACGUAGGUGGCAAGCGUUGUCCGGAUUUAUUGGGCGUAAAGCGAGCGCAGGCGGUUUCUUAAGUCUGAUGUGAAAGCCCCCGGCUCAACCGGGGAGGGUCAUUGGAAACUGGGAGACUUGAGUGCAGAAGAGGAGAGUGGAAUUCCAUGUGUAGCGGUGAAAUGCGUAGAUAUAUGGAGGAACACCAGUGGCGAAGGCGGCUCUCUGGUCUGUAACAGACGCUGAGGCUGGAAAGCGUGGGGAGCAAACAGG